AGUACAGUGGCAGUACGCUAGCUUCCCAAGCUAGGAACGGCGGUUCGAUUCCGCUC
rnacentral:tRNA from 1 species